rnacentral:rRNA from 1 species
AUUGAACGCCGGCGGCAGGCUUAACACAUGCAAGUCGAGCGGGGUGAUGGUGCUUGCACUAUCACUUAGCGGCGGACGGGUGAGUAAUGCUUAGGAAUCUGCCUAUUAGUGGGGGACAACAUCUCGAAAGGGAUGCUAAUACCGCAUACGUCCUACGGGAGAAAGCAGGGGAGCACUUGUGACCUUGCGCUAAUAGAUGAGCCUAAGUCGGAUUAGCUAGUUGGUGGGGUAAAGGCCUACCAAGGCGACGAUCUGUAGCGGGUCUGAGAGGAUGAUCCGCCACACUGGGACUGAGACACGGCCCAGACUCCUACGGGAGGCAGCAGUGGGGAAUAUUGGACAAUGGGGGGAACCCUGAUCCAGCCAUGCCGCGUGUGUGAAGAAGGCCUUAUGGUUGUAAAGCACUUUAAGCGAGGAGGAGGCUCUUUUGGUUAAUACCCAAGAUGAGUGGACGUUACUCGCAGAAUAAGCACCGGCUAACUCUGUGCCAGCCGCCGCGGUAA